rnacentral:rRNA from 1 species
UACAUGGGGGGCAAGCGUUGUUCGGAAUUACUGGGCAUAAAGGGUGCGUAGGCGGCUUGUUAAGUCAGGGGUGAAAGUUUUCGGCCCAACCGGAAAAUUGCCUUUGAUACUGGCGAGCUGGAGUGCGUGAGGGGUGACCGGAACGAGUGGUGUAGCGGUGAAAUGCGUAGAUAUCACUCGGAAGGCCAACGGCGAAGGCAGGUCACUGGUGCGCAACUGACGCUGAGGCACGAAAGCGUGGGGAGCAAACAGG